AUAAAAAUAACCGCGGUUCUUACCAUUUCAUCGCUGAAUAUCGGCUAUAGAUUAAACCACAGAUAUAAGACGCUGAAAAUGCCGACAGCUUGCCAAAAAAUCUAUAGUCAUUACCUUUGCCCUAUUUGAUUCUCGGCUGAAGUUGUAAUAAAGUAAAAGCUAAUCAGAUAAGACACAGGUUAUCUAACGAAACUUGUCAGUCAAAGUGCAAACUCGAAAAGCACAAAAAAACACAGGCUAAUAUGCGACGAACGGACAAGGUGCGCCACACAACAGCUUGUUUAAAUAGAUACAAUUCUUGAAGGAACAAAAGACAGGAAAAUGCAGUAUUUCAACGCUUACAAAAAAAAUUCUAUUGAUGAUGCUACGUCAAACCAGAAAAAUAACACAUACCUGUCUCCAAAAGCCAUUGGACAUUUAUAGAGUGCUUACAGGAUGUUCGUGGAUUUUCAAUUUGUGGGGCGCAAGUAAAUGGUAACGAUAAAAAAGGGGUGGCGUAGAUGAUCUGCUGGAGACUAAUAAACUGAAGAUUCCACGCCCAAAUUUUUAACCAAAAAUCAUUAAAACACAGUUUUCGGAGCAUUCGAGGACUCCAAGCUCUGACUUCCACGAGUAGAAUUUAUCUGUUUGAACCGUCUUAUUAUUAAGGUGGGUGAAAUCGUAUGUAGAAAGAAGAAAGUAUUUAAAGAACAACAAUUUAGGAACAAAAUGUAGAAAAUCAGACUGUUUAUUUAUAUGUUGUUUAUAUGUCAGAUUAUUUAUUUUAAAAAAACUGAAAAAUAUCAGUGCUGUCGGAUACUACACAUAUCAUUUCUACUAUUUAUAACCGUAAGUUCGAACUUUAAUUUUCCACUAAUAAUAAUUGGAUAACCCUACUCCGCUAUUUACGUACGAAUCAUUUUAUACAAAAUAAUUCGUACAAUAAAGCCUAUUUUAUAUACAGUGAGAUUUCUCUUAGCGGACAGCUCUCAAUACUGCACAUGUCCUAUUAAUGGACAGUCUUUUUUGUCACGAGAUUUUAGGAGAACAAUUUCCUAUAAAAUAAAUUCUCAUAAGCGGACGCUCUGUCGGACGGACAAGGACAAAAAUUUUCAACACCAAAACGCGCCAAAUUUCCCAACAACGGACACGGAUCUCCGAAAGCGGACAAAAAUGACCGUUACGUUACUCCAGGAAAAAAAUCACGCCACUUUAGUAUCCACGUAUGUAAUGUUUUAGUACCGUCUUGUAAUUGAAGCAGGUGACAUGGCGCCCGUUAGAAACUUUUUAACGCUGAGGUAAAAAAUGGAGGUUGUAAAUAUUGCAGAACAGGAAAGUUUAAAUGUCCGUAAACUGGGAGAAAGGUUUAAUAUAAGUAAAAGUCAAGCGGCGGAGAUUGUAAAAAAUAAAGAAAUUAUUCGAAGACAAUGGCAAUCGGGAGAAAAUUUAGAUCAGAAAUCAGCAAAAUUGAAAGGUGCCCGCGCAAUAAAUCAAAAAAUUCCCAUCUCAGGGCCCCUAAUAAAAACGAAGGCGAAAGAAGUAGCAAUUGAAUUGGGGCAUCGCAAUUUCAGCGCAUCUGAUGGUUGGCUGAAUAAGUGGAGAAGAAGGCAUAAUAUAAGCUUUAAGUGCAUCUCAGGGGAGUCGGCAGAUGUAAACCAAGAAGAUGUGAAUCAGUUCUUAGAGAGGCUACCAGGAAUGUUGCUAGGAUAUAGGCCAGUGGACAUCUAUAACGCAGAUGAGAGCGGUUUAUUUUUUAGAGCUUUGCCAGAUAAAACUUAAUGUUUAAAGGUGAGAAGUGCACAGGGGGCAAAAUGUCAAAAGAACGAUUAACAAUACUAUUUUGCGCCAAUAUGGCUGGUGACAAAGAAAAGCUUUUGGUUAUUGGAAAAGCUGCGCGCCCACGAGCCUUAAAAAAUUUACCACUUAAGAGUUUGCCGGCUACAUGGACAUCAAAUAAAAAACCUUGGAUGACAAGAAUUAUCAUGACAGACUGGCUUUUGGAUAUCGAUAAAAGCAUGGGUUGUGAAAAACGAAAAAUUUUACUUUUUCUUGAAAAUGCCGGUUCACACCCAAGAGAACUUAACCUUAAAAAUAUUAAAAUACUUUUUUUUCCUCCCAACACAACUUCUGUAUGUCAGCCCAUGGGCCAAGGUAUAAUACAAAAUUUUAAAUGAUUUUAUAGAAGCCAGAUUUUAAAGCACAUCCUAUCAAAAAUAGAUGAUGUAUCGUCUGCUUCAGAUUUAUCAAAAUCGAUUAACAUUUUGGAGGCAUUAUAUUUUAUUAAGAACGCCUAGAAUAAGGUUACCCCACGCACUAUACAAAAUUGUUUUGUCAAAGCUGGUUUCCAAAAAUCACCUCAAGGAGAUACUCGAGCAGAAGACUACGAUCCAGAAGAUGACUUACCUUUGGCAACUUUAGCAGAAUUCUGGAAAAACUGUCAGGAAGUUGGCCAAAUUUCUAAGGCAUUAGAUAAUGACUUUAUUAUAUUGGACCAAGAACUUCAUAUGGAGGAAACAUUUGAAGGAGGUCUAGAAACCAUUGCUGAUGAGGUACAAAAUACAAUUUUGCUGGAAAGUGAUAGUGAAGAAAAGGAAGAAGAGGAAGAAAGGGAAGAAGCUUUGAGUACUGUGAAUUCUUAUGCCGAUGCAUUAAAAUGUGUUGAUGAUCUAAAAAAAAUUACAAAAAAUUAUUUUGUCGCUUUUGAACACCUUAAAAAUAUCGAAUCGCAUUUUCAAACCUGCCUUUUUCAGGAAAAAAUGAAAAAGAAGAAGCAGGCAAAAAUAUCUGACUUUUUUAAGGUAUAAGAUCUGAAAUUUGCAACAAAUUUUUAAGGAUUUUAAAUUUAAGUUUUCUUUUUCUGGUAUUUAAGGUAGCAAUGUACCUAUGUUUGUUUAUACUUGCAAUUUUCAUCAAUACAUGUUAGUUAAUAAAAAUUAUGUACAUACAUUUA